rnacentral:tRNA from 1 species
GCUCAGUUGGUUAAGCAUCUGACUCUUGAUUUCAGCUUAGGUCUUGAUCUUGGGGUUGUGAGUUCAAGCCUCACACUGGGCU